CGGACCUGCGGAGCCCACCCGCGGUGCACUCCCGGGAGCUGUGCUGCCAAGGCCAGCAGCUCUGCUGCCCCCGAGACUUCCUCGCGUCUCACCCCACCCGCCCUCAGCGGGCCGCCGCCUGCUGUUCGCGGCGCGCACACACUGAUUGGCUUGGGCUGCAGCUAGGGAGCCCGCCGAGCAAUCAGCCCCUGCGGAGAACCAGCGUGGGCGAGCGCUGGGCUGCAAAAAGAGGCUGGAUUUUCCUACCCAGGCGGGUUAGAACGUACCCUCCCGCCUGCCCAUCUUACAUCUCCCCGCAGGCGUCACCCUAUUUGACUUCCGACAGUGGCACAUGGCAGACCAGGGCCUGCCGGUUCCAACGCCCAGCAGGAAAACAACCAGAAACCCACAGAAGCAGAACCCAAGCAGAGGAGAGCAGCUCUGGAGAGUGGAGUGGACACAAGAAAUGAUGAUAUCCUCAGACCCUGCAGUUCCAGCAGCCAUCUGGUCUCCUUAGCAGAGGAGUAAAAAGUAUCCUCCACUUAACUUCUCUCAGGCCAGUGGGGAGAUGGCUCAGCAGAAAGGGCACUUACCACUAAGACCCGUGACCCAACUUCCAUUCCUAGAGCCCACAUAGUAGAGAGAGAACCUCAUCUUGUCCUCUGACCUCCACAUAUACUCGGAGUCAUGGCUGGUGGGAUGCCCCUUCAGGCUGUCUUGGAUCACGGUGAAAUGUACCCACAUGGAGUCAGUCACUCUAGGAUAUAAAAGCAGGCCUCUGACAGUACACGUCAUCUCUAACCCUGCAAGCGCAUCUCAGAGGCAGUUGGUCUUCCACUGUGAGACAGAAUGAAGAAGGGCGUCUUCCUACAGUUCAGUAGAGGAGCCAGUCCAGGAAGAACAAAGCCAGCCCCAGGGUAAAGGAUUUUUUCAAGAGCCUCCUCUGCCUAGGAUUCUUUUACGUGGUCACCCAUCAGGGAAGCCAGAGGUAUUAAGCUUCAGCCUUUCUUCAUAGUGGGCACCAUUUGAGGGAACAGCUGUGAAGUCUCACCUGCCCUACCUCUGGUCUUGACACACCUUAGAUGAGCUAAGGGUCAAAGAUGACCCCAAAGAUCUUAAGGAGACCAAGAAGGCCCAGGGAAGGUGGGGUCCACCUGCUUGUCUGAGUGACUUCUGUGCUGUAGACUGUUGUGGACCUCAGCACCACCCACCCUGACCUCUAGAGAAAUGAAACUACCUUUGCAUGAGAGGAAGCAGGGGAAUUGCUUUAAGUGUGAUUGCAACCCCCCAGACACCCCAAACUAGUUCUUCAUCACCAUCUGGAAGAAGAUCCCACAGGAAACAGAAAUCAAGCUCUUACUGCUGACGCUGAACUGUGCAAGAACAUGCUGGGUCUGUGGAGAAACUGAGACUCAUUGAGCUGUCAAACAGCAGAGCCAAAUGACAAUAGAGCCAACUCUCCCAUGAAACAGUAGCUUGCAGGCUCAGAUGUUUUUGAAAGGCAGGUAUAAGACCAUGUCUAUCUUUCUCUAUGUUUAAUGGUGUGUGUGUGUGUGUGUGUGUGUGUGUGUGUGUGUGUGUGUGUGUGUGUGUGUGUGUGUGUGUAAGGUUUCUCUAUUUAGUUCAUACUGGCCUUGAAUUUGUAGCAAUCCUCCUGCCUCUGCUUCACCAGUGCUAUAAUCACAGGCAGCUUGAAUGCCAAGAGAUUUGUAUUAAAUAUUAGCAGUGGUCAAAUAUGUGCACUUCUAGGAAGAAAUGUGUACUUCCUUUUCUUUAAAAAAUUUUUAAUGUAUUUUAUGUAUGUGGGUGUUUUGCUUGCAUGUAUGGACACCACAUGUGUGUAAUGCCAACAGAAGUCAGAAGAGAGCAUUGGACCCCCUGAAACUGGAGUUAUGACAGUUGUGAGUCAUCAUGUGGGUGCCAAAACUUGAAUACAAGUCCUCUGGAGGAGAGAUAGGGCUCUUAACCACUGAACCAUCUCUCCAGCCUGUUUCCUGUUCUUCUUCUUUUUUUAAGUCUUCCACUUCUGCUGUUUUCAUUUUGAAAUCAAAUUCUUUCCUGAAGACAAGGUCUAACUAUCUUCCUUAAACUCCUAGAGCUCCUCUUGCCUCAGUCUCCAAGAUGCUGGGCUUCCAGGAAUUCAGCGGCCUACGCAGCUUGUGUUCAAUGCACACUAGCACACUGAAUUUUAUUGUAUGUACUGAGACAGAGUCUUAUUGCCUAGGGUGGUCUUGAAUACCUGAACUUAAGAUAUCCUCAUGCCUCAGCCUCCUAAGUAGUUGGAACAAUAAAGGCCUGCAUGUAUGCCUACAUACACAUUUUAAAAUACUUAGAUGUGAUACAAAAGAAUGAAACAGCCUUUUAGAAAACAAAUAGCAAAAAUUUCCCUUUAUAAAUUCAGAAUAAAAUUUUAGGCCAAUGUAAAAAAUUUUUUGGUGUUUUUUUGUUUGUUUGUUUUGUUUUGUUUUUCAGACAUUGUCUCACUAUAUAGCCAUAGCUAGCCUGAAACUCGCUGUGUAGACAGGCUGGCCUCAAACUCGAAGUGAUCCACCUGCCUCUGCUUCAUGAGUGCUGGGAUAAAAGGUGUGUGCCACUAUACCUACCCAAGGUAAUAUUUUAGCACCACUAAAAUGGCAUUUCUAAGGGAUUAGCACGUUCUGUAUUUUCCAUGUUUAUAAUAUUCUAGCUUAUUAUAAUGGGCACACUUUACUUUGACAAUGAGAGAAAAACCAAUAAAGCCAAAUAAUAGGAAUUUUUUUAAAGAUUUAUUUAUUUAUUAUGUAUACAGAAGAGAGUGCCAGAUCUCAUUACAGAUGGUUGUGAGCCACCAUGUGGGUGCUGGGAAUUGAACUCAGGACCUCUGGAAGAGCAGUCAGUGCUCUUAACCUCUGAGCCAACUCUCCAGUCCCAGGAAUUUUAUUUUUAUUUACUUAGGCUGUUUGAAAGAUGAUCUUUCUUUGUAGCUGAGGCUGACCUUAAACAGAAGAUCCUCCUGCCUCUGCCUCUCAAGUGCUGGGGUUAUAGGCAGGUACCACCACACCUAGCAAAAUGAUAGAACUUUUAAUGGGGAGAGAAGGAGGUGAUUUGAUGUUCAGGAACAAAUGUGAGGAAGUGGGCGCUUUCCCUCCUCCCUCGCUAAGAAUGCACAUUGGGGUAAUUUGGAGAAGGAGCUGAUUACAGCUGGGGAAGGUGCAGGGACUUGUGCUCUUUGUGGCAAUCCCACAAGUAGCAAUGUGACCUAGAGGAAGCACUCAACUGAUGAGCCACAUCUGAGCUCCUCACUGGGGGAGCCUAAGCAAGCGUUCCACUGCUGAAUCACAUUCCCAGGCCCGUUGUUCCAUUGUAUUCCUUGCCCAGUUCUCUGAUUCAGUGGUUGUCAUCCCUCUCAAUACUCAUGACAGAGCAGAGGAACAUUAAACUGAGAGACACUUAGCAUGGAUCACUUCAGGAAGUGGCCCAGCCAGGUCCUAGCACAAGGUGUCUGCUUCCAGAGCCCAGUGGAAACAGUCUUUAGUGGAAGUCAAAAAAGGGGUGGGCUCACACAGACAGCAAGGUACAAGCUGACCUAGAAGGGUGAGCAGGCAGAUGUGCAGGGCAGAAAUAGCUCUGGCUAAGGAAAGAUGCAGGUAGUCAACGUUGGUGUAUAAUCCUAGAACCUAGAAGGAUGAGGCACGAUUAUGGGCUAGCCUGGAGUAUAUAGUAAGCCCCCGUUUCAGAAGGAGGGAAUGGUAGAUUAGUGCAUUAGUGCUAGGAUGGUGGUGCACACCUGUAAUCCUAGCUUCUUGGGAGGCAGAGGCAGGAAGGUCAUGAAUUUGAAGCCAGCCAGCCUAAGCAAUUUAGCAAGAUCACAUUUAAAGGGGGACAAAAGACUGGGCUAUUGCUCAGUGGGAAAAGCACUUAACAUGCAAAUAUGAGGACUGAGUUCAGAACUCUAGAAGCAAUGUAAAAAACUCAAUGCCAUACCACACGUCUGUAAUCCCUACUCUCCUUCAGUGAGGUGGGAGGCUGAGAAUCCUUGGACGCUUGUGGGCCAGCUAGCCCAAAGCAUGCAGUAGUGAACAAGAGACCCAGUUCUCUGACCUACACACUUGUACCAUGGUACAUAUGCCCAUACUUACCCACAGGAAUGAACACACACACACACACACACACCAAGUAAGUGUGGGAGCUGUUGGUUUCUAGAUGUCCCUGUUACCUUCCCUUUAUGGCCCUCAUGUACUGCAGUUGUUUUCUUACAGUGCCACAGAACCAUAACAGAGCCACUUCCCUCGAUGUCUGCCUUCAAACCUGCUCUGAGCAUGUCAGUCGUCACCCUGUCCCUCCUUUCUAACCCCAGCUUCCUGCAGCUCAGGCCACCACACCCAUCUUCAGUUUGAUGUGCAGUCUCUGUCACCUUUUUUGUCUCAUCUUCCUCCACCCAAUGUUAGGAACACUUUUUGCAGACUGCCAGAGAGAAUUCAACAGCCACACCUAGCUUGGCAUGGGGGGACACACACACCUGUAAACCCAAUACACGAGGCUGAGGCAGGAGCAAUGCCUGUUUCAGGCCAGUGUGGGCUACACAGCAAAACUGUCUCAAAAGACAAAAACCUCAACAGCAACAGGAACAACUGCUCCAGCCUGGUCCCUGGAGGCCACCCCGAUCCUGGGUUGCUGUUUUUUUCUGGACCUAGUCUCCAGUAUUGGUGAUACCCAGCACACAGUAGAGGACCCACUGGAAAGGACCUCAUUCCUCCAAGUGGGAAAAGCCAGUGUUAGACUUGAACCUCUUGGGCCAGUCUGAUGCUACACUUUUUAGAAUUGGGAUUGACGAGAAUGACAACUUAAAGGGGUUAUUUAUUUAAUAAGAGACAGCAUUGUCCUCCCCAACUGAGGCUCCUUGGAAAUAGUACCAGGUAAGUCAGUGACACUGAGCACAUUAGAGUUUUCUGGAGUUAAAUUCAGAAUUAGGACAAGGUAGGAAAAAAUCUAUGCUCAUUGAAUAGAAAAUGCAAUUGUCUGUCAGCGCAGGAACUGAGUGUCUGCAGCAAAUUAUAUUUAGGACUUUAUUGUCGCGGGUAGAUUGGCUAAUGCCUGGUUUUAAGUGUGGGCUUCUAAUGCUGUUACUCCUGGUUAACUCUGCCUGCUAGGUAACCUUGUGGAACAAAUGACUGCAUUGCUUGAAUAACAUAUUUGAUCAAAUAGGACAAUUCUUUGAAAAAUUGAGUUCUCUGUGGCAAUUUGAGACCUGUAAUCAGCAAAUUAGAUGAUUACAGCAGGGAUAAAAAUAGUCUUCUAACAAUGUCCAAGGUAUAAAUGUGACUUGAAUUUCAAACUGCUGAACAUGUGGUAGGAAAAUGCACGGUUGGGUAAAUAGGACGAGACAUUAUCAGACCUGAUUUCCCUUCCAUCCCUGCUCUGAGCUACAGCCUAAUUUUGUCUGAAUAUCUUGCAAUCUCCUAUGCAGCUGAGUUGGAAGGAGGAGAGAGGUGGGUCAGGCACUGUGUUCAUAUCUUAAAGGGCAUACCUGUCUGCCUCAGAAACACAGUCCACAUGACCUUAGUCCACAUGACUCAUCUAUCCACUUGGUAUGAAAGGACCUCUAAAAGACAGCAAGCUGUUUUACCACCUGGGGAAGAUGGCACUGGAAAGCUUUCCAUGCCAACAUCUAAGUACCAAUGUUUUAGGCAGUGGUUAGAGAAAUGACAGAGACUCUGGUAAACUGUGAGCUGGGGAAGAGACUGGUGUGGUGGACCAAUAGGCUCUGUCCCUAUGUCAGAUGCAAGAAUGUUUCUGCUCUUGAUUCUUCAACCAGUGACCUUCCUGAUGAUCACCUGGCCUCAGCUGCUUUUGGCUGAAUGGUAGAACAGAAAGAAUGCUGUAAACAGGUCUACAGAGGCAUCAGCCACAGACUUGUUACCAGAAGAUGGGAGCUUUGCUAAGGGACCUGUCACUCACUAGUGCUUCCCAGGGUUUUAUGAUGAGCCACAGGAAUUACCAAAUAUUAUAGAUUUUAUUCACCCAUGAGGAAUUCUUUGUUAGUACAGAUGGCAUUGGCAUUUGACAAGCUCCAUGCUAGGCAUGAUGGUGUAUAACUGUAAUCCUAACACUAAAGAGGCUGAGACAGGAGGACUGUUUAAGGCCAGUGUGGGUUACACAGUGAGACUCUGUAUCAAAUAUCUAACUACUUUUUUAUUUGUUGUAAUAUAGGAUCUUUUUAUGUAGCCCAGGCUGCCCUUGGUUGGACUCUCCUGCCUGAGCAUCCUGGGUGCUAGGACUACAGGUAUAGGCCACCAUGGUAGCCUUUGCUUUUUAAGACAGGAGUGCUUCUGCUUGAGACUUAGCUGGGUGUGGUGCACCCCUUUAAUCCCAGCACUCGGGAGGCAGAGGCAGGUGGAUCUCUAUGAAUUUGAGGCCAGGCUGGUCUACAGAGCGAGAUCCAGGACAGCCAGGGCUGUUACAGAGAAACCAUCUUGAAAAACACAACAAAAAGAGAAAUAACUAGUUAGGAAUAAUGUUAUUUGGAUAGAUGUAGACUUGUUUUAAAAGUUUUAUCUGUAUGAAUGUUUUGCCUGCAUGUAUGCCUGUGAACCACAUACAUGCAGCACCAAAGGAAGCCAGAAAAGGCAUUAAAUUUCCUGAAACUAGAGUUAUAGAGGUGAGCUGGGAAUCAAACCUGGGCUCUCUAGGAGAGCAACCAGUGCUGUUAACCAUUGAGCCAUCUUUCCAGCCCCAGGUGUAGGUUUCUGAUACACUGACUAGGAAGACUAUUAAAACUUCCAGAACUAGCCGGGCGGCAGUUGUGCAUGCCUUUAAUCCCAGCACUUGGGAGGCAGAGCCAGACGGAUCUCUGUGAGUUCGAGGCCAGCCUGGUUUACAUGGCAAGAUCCAGGACAGGCACCAAAACUAUACAGAGAAACCCUGUCUUGAAAUGCGCCCCCCCAGCCCCAAGAAAACCAGAUUCAAGUAAGUUGAAAAUAAAAGUGGCACUUACUUGCUCAGUCAUCUUCCUGUGUGUAUAUACAAACUGAGGCAAUGAGAAAGUGAAAAUAUAAUGACCAACAAAGGUGAUCAAAAUGUACACACUAGGCCUAAAGUGAUCAGCAGCAGGGCUUUGGGUGUUUCUAUAGCCUAUCAGAAAAUAAACUGCACUAAAUGUCCUGACCUCACUUUAGCUAUGUCAUCUAACUUUGCACCCCAUCCCCUUCCUGUCUUUUGAGUAGCCCAGGGUAACCUAAAACUUUGGAACCUUCCACAUGCUGGUUCUGCAGGUGUACACCAAUGUGCCUAGGUUCAUUUCCUUAGCAGCUGUUUCAGGCUAUGUUAAAUUGUUUAAACAAAAUCUCUCAUAUUUUCUUUAGAUUUGGAUAAGGGUGAAGAACAUGAACUAGAGCUCUGUAAUGACCUUUAACUAGUCUGGAGAGAUGACACUAAUAAAAUUCCCUGAGUGUGGAACAGCUUCACUAGCACUGCCUACCACAGCUAAUGACUCUAGUGUAAAUAGACACCUGUGUAGGGCAUUGUAGAAGAGUCUCAUGGAAGUCUAGGCUACAUGGCAAGCUCUGGG